rnacentral:rRNA from 1 species
UGGGGAAUAUUGCACAAUGGGCGCAAGCCUGAUGCAGCCAUGCCGCGUGUGUGAAGAAGGCCUUCGGGUUGUAAAGCACUUUCAGCGAGGAGGAAGGUGGUGAACUUAAUACGUUCAUCAAUUGACGUUACUCGCAGAAGAAGCACCGGCUAACUCCGUGCCAGCAGCCGCGGUAAUACGGAGGGUGCAAGCGUUAAUCGGAAUUACUGGGCGUAAAAGCGCACGCAGGCGGUUUGUUAAGUCAGAUGUGAAAUCCCCGGGCUCAACCUGGGAACUGCAUUUGAAACUGGCAAGCUAGAGUCUCGUAGAGGGGGGUAGAAAUUCCAGGUGUAGCGGUGAAAUGCGUAGAGAUCUGGAGGAAUACCGGUGGCGAAAGGCGGCCCCCCUGGACGAAGACUGACGCUCAGGUGCGAAAGCGUAGGGAGCAAAACAGGAUUAGAUACCCUGGUAGUCCACGCUG